CCACCGAGCUACGGUGGCGGCGCGGGGCCGGGCGGAAGCGGGCGGCGAGGCGCGGAGCGGAGCGGGCACCAUGUCGGGCCGGGAGGGCGGCAAGAAGAAGCCGCUGAAACAGCCGAAGAAGCAGUCCAAGGACCUGGAUGAGACAGAUCUGGCAUUUAAACAAAAGCAGAAGGAGGAGCAAAAGAAACUUGAGGAGAUGAAAGCAAAGGCUGCUGGAAAAGGGCCCCUCGCCAGUGGUGGAAUAAAGAAGUCUGGCAAAAAGUAGCUUGAUCGAACUACAAUGUAAGAUGUGAUCGAGUUAUUCAAUGGACCUGCAACAUUCAGAUCAUCAAGAAAACUCGCUAGCGCUUAGGUAACAUUGUACAUUUUGUUUAGUCAGAAUAAAACUUUUUUGUUAAGAGGUGAUAUUUUCUCUUUACCUGUAGGCUUUGUUUUAAAACUGGCUCUGCAGGAUUAUACUGGAAAUGAAGCUUCUUGAAGACUACUUGUGACCUUCUGUAGGUUGAGUGCAUCUGCUGGUUUGGUAGGCAUUUAGGAGAACAAGUUUAAACUUCUGCACCUUCUGCACCUUUUUUUUUUUAAAAUGAGAG